AACGCACAUUGCACCCUCUGGUAUUCCGGGGGGUAUGCCUGUUCGAGCGUCAUUUCAACCCUCAAGCACAGCUUGGUAUUGGGUGUCACCUGGCAAAAUAGGUGUGCCUUAAAAUCAGUGGCGGUGCCAUCUGGCUUCAAGCAUAGUAAAUUUCUUGCUUUGGAGAUAGGAUGUGUACUUGCCAUCAAACCCCAAUUUUAUCAAAAGGUUGACCUCGGAUCAGGUAGGGAUACCCGCUGAACUUAA
rnacentral:misc_RNA from 1 species